AAGUCGUAACAAGGUUUCCGUAGGUGAACCUGCGGAAGGAUCAUUAUUGAAAACUCUGGGGCGCUCGGUUCGCUCUGCACCGGCGGUGACGCCGUGCUGCGGGCGGCCGGACGCCUCGUCCAAAACCCACACACCUGUGCACCUUUGGGACCGGUCCCGCCGGCAACGGUGGGCCGUCCCGACCACACAAACUCUUGUAAAUUAACUUUGAAUGUCGAUGGGCCUCUGGCCUUGAAUAAAACAAAACAACUUUCAACAACGGAUCUCUUGGCUCUC
rnacentral:misc_RNA from 1 species